AGGAAUGAGAGGAAAGACUGCAUGAAGGAAACAACUUCCAGAACCUUCCUGGCUUGCCAAACGCGCUAUUAACCAACUCUAAUUACGGCACAGCGACCUAUUGCUCGCAGAGCCAGGAGGCCUGAAGCUAACCACCCUGCUCCCUUAGCCCCACCUGCUGUACUGGUACCAGCUGGAUUUAAGGGAGACAAAGCCCAACAAUUAAGGGGUAGGAGAGAACAGGGGUUUGGCUGGGAACUGCUUGUAGGUGGUAUCUUGCUAAAGGCUCUUAGUCAGGCUGUUGGCUUGGUAUGCUCUGGGUUGCAGGGUUAUUGCCUCCUGGCUGAGAAAGAGGCAGUACAGCAAGCAGGAGGUGGUGCAGCAAGCUGCUGGGUUUGUCUUGUGGGGGAGCUUCUGCUGGCCUUGUGUUUCGAAUUCAGAGUUCGAAAUAAAUUAAGAGAUACAGAGGCUGUGUUAGGUGGCUUCUGAUGCUGCUCAGGAUGCUAGGUCUGGCAGGGUGUGUGGGAGCUCCUGGCAUCCCUGCCUGGCACCCCCAGGCUGUUUUUCACUGCUCUGGAGUAUGCUAAAAUCACCCUGAAAUCACCAACCAUCACUACUCUCAACAGCAAAACAAGAAUUCCUUUGUACACUCCUGAAAGUUUUUGGUAGCAUAAAUGUUUGGUAAAUCAGAUGAAAACAACAGAAAAGCAUAUAUGGAUAGAAACAUUUUUUUCCCUCUAUUUGCAUAACUCCUUACACAACAGUAAGUGAUUUCAAAUGUGGCAAACAAAACCCAAAAUCCUUUAUGGUUUCAUAACUGUUGCUAGAGAAAAAGGAGAUGUAAGAAAAAUGCUGUGCAACAAGGCUUAAAGCAAGCUUUCAGAGAUUAAUUAAAAGUACUUAUUUGCAAGAGAGAAUGGUAUAUUGCGUGUUAGGAAACCAGGUAAGGUCCUUAAAUAACAAUCAAAUGCAUGAUAUGAUUAAGAGGUUAAUACUUCCAGAGCUAUAUUAAACCAAAACUAUUCCUAGCAGCUUGCAGUUAUGCAGGCAAAAAAAAAAAGUCUUACACUACUGCAUUUAGUGACCUUGUAACAAUGUAUGUUAAUAUAAGUAUGAUUGUAAGAAUACAGAUUAACUUUGUUUAAUGAGAAGUGUUGAAAAAUAAAGUUGGUGGAUGUUGGCUAGUAGGGACAAUUGACCUAUUUGUGGUGAACUUGAAGUAGGGUGACUGUGUGUGCCAUUGUAACACUGCCUGAAACCCUGGCUGGGGGACUGCUUGGAUAUGGGGGUGGAGGCAGCAGGGAGGGCGAAGAACAGUGUUCUGCUGUGCAUGAUAGCAUCUGAUGUGCAUGACCAGCGUCUGAUACUUCAGAAAAGGACUGGAGAAUAUAGGUUAUUACCAUCAUUACAGAGCAAGCGUGUAACAGUGUUACCAAAUAUGGGAGAAUCUGCUACUGCUCUGGACUUGUGUGACUGCCUGCGCACUGGGGAUGCAAAGCAGAUUCCUCCCCCUCCCAGUGGGAACUACUGAUUCCCUGCAGCCUCCAGCAGGGACAGAGAAACUUACAGAAUAUUAUCAACUAGCAGUCUGGAUGUUUCUGUAGCUACUGAUAUAAUUUGCACAGAAUAACAAGAGGAGUCCCAUGAUCAACACAAGACAGUUGAUGCAGUGACCGCCGAGUGAUCCGCAAAGCCAGGCUGCUGGCGCCAUCCCGUGGCACGCUCCUGGCUGCACGACUCCGGGCUGCUGGGCUCUGCCGGGGACUCAGCGCUAACAGCGGUGCACAGAGGAUAGCUUAGGGCUCACGUUUCAUGUUUCAUGUCUGUCUCUUGACAACAAGACAACAUGUCUCAGGCUAUGAUGCUGGGUACUGUAGCCAAGGUCCAGAUUAUCCAUAGUGAAGUGCUUUGAAGGGGGGGGGGAGCUUUCCCUACAAUCCUAAAAUGGGUUUAAAUACACUCCUCAAACAAGGCCAGUGUGAUUAACAGAAAGAAUACAGCAAUAUGGCAUGUGUUUGAAGAAGGAAAAAAACAAAACAAAACACAGCUUGCAUGGGUUGAAAAUCUUCAUCCCCAAAUUCUGCAACAAACGAGAAUACGAAGGCUGUUGGAUCAGUUCCGUGGGAAAUAUUUCAAAUGAGUAUAAAGCCAGGGUGGCACUACGGGAGAUCAGGGAAUACAGUAACUGUAUUACAUGUCUCACAGGGCCCUGAAUUUGCCCCAAGGUGUGUGCAAUAACAGUGAAGUGGUGAAUAACCAGCUGUUAAAGUAGCAAGAGUGUAUUGGACAUUUUUCCCCCAGAAAAAAAAAUGGAUUUUCUAGACAAAAGCAGUGUUAUAUACACCGUCCAAGUGAAUGUUAAAAAACACAUUAUGUGACGCUCAGAAUUUUUUUAUCAAGCUUGUAAAGCUGGUAAUUUUUAUAAUGGAUUAUAAUACAGGCAGGAAAUUGGUUAAAUAAAAAUGAUAAUGAUAAGGUACUGAA